rnacentral:lncRNA from 1 species
AGAAAUUAACUUUUAAACACAAAGGGAAGAUUCAAGCAACACUUAGGGCCGAAUUCAAUGUUUUGGACCAUUUCUUUAACAAACAACACUUUAGAGCUCUUUUUUCACAUAUUUUUCAACUAUUUUUCACUCUUUUCACAACUUUUCUUCUUUUCAUUCUAUUUUCCACGAAUGUUUCUUUUUUUCUUUUUCUUUUCUACCUGUGCCUUAUUAAGGACUUUGGCACACACACACACACACACACACACACACACACACAAGAAUCACUUCCCCCACACUUGUUUUUCUGCAAAAGUUCAACAAAAAGAAUUCCUUCUAAAUUAUGUUUUACUGUGCUUCAAGAACAAGGGUAUGGAUGGUCCUAAUCUAGGUUAGGUGAGGAUAGUGUGGGUUAACAAAGAACAUAGGCUACAAAAGGCUCAACGGGUUAAACUUAAACACAUAAUGAAAUAGGGCACGGACAAUUUUGGCUGUGGUGGUCACUACACAACUUCAUCUUGAAUAUGUGUUAUGCAAAUCAAUAGCAUGCUUUGAAUGAAAUAGGCAUGAGUUCUAGCAUUUGGAACUAAAUGAUGAAACGCCUUCUAAGUAGCAACCAAGCAAAGAAUAUUGAGAUCAUGCAACGACUUUAGAAAACAAUAGUGCACAGAUUAUUAACUCUCCAAAUAAACGUUUAGGCUCAAGUCUCACAAGGUUAUAGCAUUCAUUUGAGUUCCUUCCUUCAAGCAUGUUACAAAAAUUGAUUUUUCCUUUAUGAUUGCAUGUGAAUUCAUAAAUUAUAACCACAACCAAGCAUACACAAAAGAGUAAAUCAAAUUUUCAUCCAUGUUUAUAACUCUCUUUAACAGUCAUGUAAUUAAAAACCAAAUCCUCAUCAUUGUGUUGGAAUGUACCCUAAGACACAAAUAAACAUACAAAAACAACUAUUUUUGGGUUUUUCAAAACAAUUUUUCAAAUUUUUAUGAGAUUUUCGGAUUUUUAUGUCAAAACACACUGAAACACUCCAAAACAGCUUAAAAACACUUAAAAUAGCAAGGAACAACACUAGAAGUAAUGGGUGAUAAACUUCUACGAAUUUCAUACAAAACAAUGGUUACCCCCCCACAUUUAAAUCAAACAUUGUCCUCAAUGUUUCAAGCAUAAACUCACACAAAAACAAGCAAAUAAACAAACAACGAAUAAACAUGACAAGUAUAGCAAAGUAAAAAAAAAAAAAACAGACAAAGUAGAGUUUAAGAACGCAAAUCUGGUUUUGGAAAUAGAUGAUCUUGUUGACUUUCCAUAGCUUUGAUCUCGAACUGGUUUGGAAUUCUGAGCGAGGAAUAUCAGAGUUCCUUGGUUUCAAAUCAGACUCAUUAUGCUGGGGGAUUUGAUUUUGCAGUCUGCAUUCUUCUCUGCUUGUUUCUUCUGCACGGCAGACAGGCACGAGGUAGAGGUGUUGGUCUGUUUCUUUCUUCAAUCUUUCCAAGUGCCUACCUCUUGCUUUCUUUCUCCUUGUCCCUAGCUAAGGAUGAAUUGGCAAAUUGUCUCCACAUGCUUCGAGGUAUCAUUUUCACUUCCCUUAUCUGUUCCCCAGGCAGAUGUGGUAGACGAAGAGGAAGCAUAAAAUGAUGAAGAUGAGUACUCGAGAGCAAGGCUAGGUAAGCAAUCAGGAAGGGGUUCCAGGCAGUCGGUUCCAGAUCAGAAGAUUGAUACCAAGUGCUGGCUGAUUGCUCUCUUUCUCAUUGUCCCAAAAUAACGUCAAGGAGAAGGAUAGGGAGAAAACAUGAUAUGAGAUACUCUUGCUUUCAACCUUCAUGAUAUAAAAUACUUUUGCUUUGGAUGAGUUGUUUGCAGAGGUACCCCAAGGAAUAAGGAACACUAAGUGACUCGAGAGGGUUUGUUGGAAAGGCAUUCUCGGAGAAGAAGAAGGGUUAUGUAUGUCUACCUUGUAAUGAAGGGUGAAGGGUGACAUUUAUAGGAAUUAAUAACCGGUACUAUUCUUUCACUCUUGUCAGUAACCGUUGGAUGAUUUAAUAGUAAACUUCACAUGCUUUCUACUUCACAAGAGAUCUUCGACAGAUUGCCCGUAAUUUCCGCAAGGCUGAGUGUGCAUGUGACAGGCGCUGACACGUCUGGAAAAG